GCCAAGCUCGCUGAGGCCUUCAAGUACUUCGUGCAGGGCAUGGGAUACAUGCCCUCGGCUAGCAUGACCCGCCUGAUGCGGUCCCGCACAGCCUCUGGUUCCAGCGUCACUUCUCUGGAUGGCACCCGCAGCCGCUCCCACACCAGCGAGGGCACCCGAAGCCGCUCCCACACCAGCGAGGGCACCCGCAGCCGCUCGCACACCAGCGAGGGGGCCCACCUGGACAUCACCCCCAACUCGGGUGCUGCUGGGAACAGCGCCGGGCCCAAGUCCAUGGAGGUCUCCUGCUAGGCGGCCUGCCCAGCUGCCGCCCCCGGACUCUGAUCUCUGUAGUGGCCCCCUCCUCCCCGGCCCCUUUUCGCCCCCUGCCUGCCAUACUGCGCCUAACUCGGUAUUAAUCCAAAGCUUAUUUUGUAAGAGUGAGCUCUGGUGGAGACAAAUGAGGUCUAUUACGUGGGUGCCCUCUCCAAAGGCGGGGUGGCGGUGGACCAAAGGAAGGAAGCAAGCAUCUCCGCAUCGCAUCCUCUUCCAUUAACCAGUGGCCGGUUGCCACUCUCCUCCCCUCCCUCAGAGACACCAAACUGCC
rnacentral:lncRNA from 1 species